rnacentral:rRNA from 1 species
CCCCAGCGCCACGAGUGGUCAUCACGAUUAUUGGGCCUAAAGCGUUCGUAGCCGGUCUGGUAAAUCUCUUGUGAAAUUGUUCGGCUUAACCGGACAGCGUGCAGGAGACACUGCCAGACUCGAGACCGGGAGGCGUAAGAAGUAUGGCAUGGGGACUGGUAAAAUGGGAUAAUCCAUGCUAGACUGCCGAUGGCGAAGGCAUCUUACGAGAACGGAUCUGACGGUGAGGAACGAAAGCUAGGGGAGCGAACCGG